rnacentral:lncRNA from 1 species
GCUGACUUAAUUAUUACAUUUUUUUUUUUUUUUAUUUCUAAAUUGAUCAGAAAGUUUUUUUUCCAUGGCAUAUUCGAUAAAUGUUUAUCGAGAGUGGAGAUAAAUUUGUCAUUGAUUAACGAGAUAAUUGAAUGAAAAGUUUUUCAUGUGUUCUACGGGUUGAAUCGAUGGAUUGAUAAUCAUCGAAGCAGACCCUUGACGACCCCUCAACCGAUGCAUCACGCCCAAGGACAAUACUCCGAAUCGCACCUGAUUGCGCCGAUGAUGCCGAACAAUUCAUUCGACGUGAAAUUAUUGGAUAGAUCCCGAUUGAUUGAUACGUACACAAAAAUCAGACGAAUCAAAAGGCUGCAGAGGAAAGAAACAGACAAAAAAUUGAUCAUCUAUUCUCGAAAAAUCUAACAUGUAGAUUCAUUUUCGUUUCAAAAGAGAAAAAGAAUAUCGAUCGGUGCCAGAGAAGGAACUGGACACAAAAAUAACCGAAGAAUUUGGUGAUACCGAUCUGAAAAAUUCUGGUAAAAAUUUGCACCCACCGUUUUUAUCCCUCGGCUGCAUUGGUUUCUGAAAAUGAUGCCGUAGCAAUAAAGUAAGGUCGGAAUCUUUGAUGAGCUUUGACAAGGGACAGAAUUUCAAUUAGAGUCUUUUACCAUUGACGACCCUUCACAAGAGGUGAUCCUUCACAAAACUCCCGCUGACAAGCUCGCGAUGUUAUUUCAUUCAAUUUUUCUUCUCUUCUUCUUCUUCGAAAAAAUUAUUGUCCUCC